UUGCACGCUGGCGGCAUGCCUUACACAUGCAAGUCGAACGGCAGCACGGGUGCUUGCACCUGGUGGCGAGUGGCGAACGGGUGAGUAAUACAUCGGAACAUGUCCUGUAGUGGGGGAUAGCCCGGCGAAAGCCGGAUUAAUACCGCAUACGAUCUACGGAUGAAAGCGGGGGACCUUCGGGCCUCGCGCUAUAGGGUUGGCCGAUGGCUGAUUAGCUAGUUGGUGGGGUAAAGGCCUACCAAGGCGACGAUCAGUAGCUGGUCUGAGAGGACGACCAGCCACACUGGGACUGAGACACGGCCCAGACUCCUACGGGAGGCAGCAGUGGGGAAUUUUGGACAAUGGGCGAAAGCCUGAUCCAGCAAUGCCGCGUGUGUGAAGAAGGCCUUCGGGUUGUAAAGCACUUUUGUCCGGAAAGAAAUCCUUGGCCCUAAUACGGUCGGGGGAUGACGGUACCGGAAGAAUAAGCACCGGCUAACUACGUG
rnacentral:rRNA from 1 species